GUUUCAAAUCUCUGAGUGUCCUUAGUGGUGCUGGGCAGUGAGGUGAGUGGCUGUAUUAAGCCAUAGAGAACAAAUACUUGGAGAAGAUGAAGAAGGAAAUGAGGAGGCACUAAAAAAAAAUUAAAAUUGCAUUUUGGCUUAUAACUAGAAGAUAAUGAAAGUCUUUUUUCUGUUUGCUUAUUGGUAACAAUUAUAAACCUAAACAUACUUCUUCCUACUCAUAGAAUUAUUAUUACUUAUGUUUAAAGGAUUUGCAUUUUGAAAAUUAAAAUUUAGAACCAAACAGCACUUAAAGCUGUUUCUAACUGUCUUUUAGCUAGGCUAUGUCUCUAAUCCUAAGGUUGAUUUAGGACUUCAAAACUCCCACUGUGUACAGCAUUACACAAUCCACUGUUUUGCAGUCUGCUUGUUUACUUGUGUUCUCAGCUGCCUGGGGAUAAUGGCAGGGAAACAACUUGUUUAAAGCUGUAUGCACAAAUCUUGCGGGCUUCAGUGAAGUAAUAUUUUCACUGACACCAAGAAUUCAUAUUCUGACCAACAAAAGGCAAAGGCAGCAUGCAACAAUAAAACUUGUAUUAAAUUAUUAUUGUAACAUUUUAACCGUGGCUAAAGUGUUUGGAAAAAAGAAAAUCAGUAACAUCUGAAGCAAAAAAUACACACAAAGAAAUAGCAAUGUUUAAGAUCAGGCCAUGUCUCAUCACCAGAGCAGCGAUGCCAGUUUCUCACACUGAUGUACUCAGACACAGAAUUAAGAGGGACAUAUUCCUUCCUAUUCACAACAGGAGCCCAAAAUCCAGAUUUCUUACCAUACACAUACAUGGCUUUACAACAGCAACAGAAAUAUCCCUCAAGGAGCUAGAGGAAAAUAUUUAACUUGCAAAAAUCAAAGCUUAAUUUUUAGGCAGCAAUACCAAGAAAGAACUCCUCCCUUUCUCUGUCUCCUGGGUUAUAAGCCAGAUUUAAUAGCAGAAAUGACACAAAUUGCAGAUGUCCACCCUUCACUUUUUCUGAGUGCACUUCUUGCCAAAAGUAGCAUAUUAAAAUACAAUUUAUAUUCACAGAUAAUAAAGCUUUUAUUGCUGAUUUCAAGCAAUGAAACUACACCACUGAAGGGAAACUGCAAUUAAGGCCUGUGAAGUACAGCGUGAGCCAAAGCAGAAAAUAGCAUAUUCAGGCUCAGAAUAUUCAGUUUCUCUUUCACAGGGAUGGUUAUGAGGCAGAUUCAAGCACUUUCAGUGAAAAUCCUCUUCACAUUUAUCAGAUGAACCAUUGCAAAAAAAUUAUAGGCUCCUUCCCCCCAAAAAAUAGAUUAAAAAUACCAUCAUUUUAUGUAGUUCUUCUGUGAGUAUGUCAACCAAUGUCUGAUUGCAAGACUGUAAGUAU